AAGGCUUUAAGUUAAAUAAACUAAUAGCCUUCAAAGCUAUAAAUAUAAGAAAGAUCUUUUAAGCCUUAG
rnacentral:tRNA from 2 species